ACACACCAAAACAAAAAGUGGCAAACUCCUUUGGUUGAAUGUGUGGAGCUGCAUUCCUUCACAUUUGUUGUUGAGGAACUAGCAUUACCAGAAGGACGAGGACAACAGCUGUGUUGUUUUAAUGUGCAGCAUUUUGCUGAGAAAAACAAUCACAUUUUUACUAUGAUACAAAAAAGGAACCAUCAUUGAUGGGAAGAAAAUUACACAGAAAGACUUGCAGACUGGCCAGAUGCUGCCAGACCCUGAUAAUCUCCAGCAAGAUUAAUUUUUGUUUGAUUCAUUUCCAGCAUCCACCAAUCUUUGUUUUACUGAAAUAGAUUUUUUAUGAUUUUUUUUAGUAAAUAAACAAAAA